AGCGAACGCUGGCGGCGUACUUAACACAUGCAAGUCGAACGGGGAUCGACACGUGAGCAAUCACGUGGCGGUCUUAGUGGCGUACGGGUGAGUAACACGUGGGCAACCUGCCCUCGAGUCUGGGAUAACCUCCCGAAAGGGAGGCUAAUACCGGAUACGGUCCUCGGGUCGCGAGAUCUGAGGAAGAAAGGUGGCGCAAGCUACCGCUCUUGGAGGGACUCGCGGCCUAUCAGCUAGUUGGUGAGGUAACGGCUCACCAAGGCUAUGACGGGUAGCUGGUCUGAGAGGACGACCAGCCACAC
rnacentral:rRNA from 1 species